rnacentral:rRNA from 1 species
UACGUAGGUGGCAAGCGUUGUCCGGAUUUAUUGGGUUUAAAGGGUGCGUAGGCGGCUUUGUAAGUCAGUGGUGAAAUAUGGCAGCUUAACUGUCAGGGUGCCAUUGAUACUGCGGAGCUUGAGUACAGAUGAGGUAGGCGGAAUUGACGGUGUAGCGGUGAAAUGCUUAGAUAUUAUCAAGAACACCGAUUGCGAAGGCAGCUUACUAAGGAGUUACUGACACUGAGGCACGAAAGCGUGGGGAUCAAACAGG